rnacentral:rRNA from 1 species
CUUAGCUAGUUGAUCUACAUGCGAGUCGAGCGGACAGAAGCGGAGCUUGCUCCCGGAUGUUAUAGGCGGACGGGUGAGUAACACGUGGGUAACCUGCCUGUAAGACUGGGAUAACUCCGGGAAACCGGAGCUAAUACCGGAUAGUUCCUUGAACCGCAUGGUUCAAGGAUGAAAGACGGUUUCGGCUGUCACUUACAGAUGGACCCGCGGCGCAUUAGCUAGUUGGUGAGGUAACGGCUCACCAAGGCGACGAUGCGUAGCCGACCUGAGAGGGUGAUCGGCCACACUGGGACUGAGACACGGCCCAGACUCCCGGGAGGCAGCAGUAGGGAAUCUUCCGCAAUGGACGAAAGUCUGACGGAGCAACGCCGCGUGAGUGAUGAAGGUUUUCGGAUCGUAAAGCUCUGUUGUUAGGGAAGAACAAGUGCAAGAGUAACUGCUUGCACCUUGACGGUACCUAACCAGAAAGCCACGGCUAACUACGUGCCAGCAGCCGCGGUAAUACGUAGGUGGCAAGCGUUGUCCGGAAUUAUUGGGCGUAAAGGGCUCGCAGGCGGUUUCUUAAGUCUGAUGUGAAAGCCCCCGGCUCAACCGGGGAGGGUCAUUGGAAACUGGGAAACUUGAGUGCAGAAGAGGAGAGUGGAAUUCCACGUGUAGCGGUGAAAUGCGUAGAGAUGUGGAGGAACACCAGUGGCGAAGGCGACUCUCUGGUCUGUAACUGACGCUGAGGAGCGAAAGCGUGGGGAGCGAACAGGAUUAGAUACCCUGGUAGUCCACGCCGUAAACGAUGAGUGCUAAGUGUUAGGGGGUUUCCGCCCCUUAGUGCUGCAGCUAACGCAUUAAGCACUCCGCCUGGGGAGUACGGUCGCAAGACUGAAACUCAAAGGAAUUGACGGGGGCCCGCACAAGCGGUGGAGCAUGUGGUUUAAUUCGAAGCAACGCGAAGAACCUUACCAGGUCUUGACAUCCUCUGACAACCCUAGAGAUAGGGCUUUCCCUUCGGGGACAGAGUGACAGGUGGUGCAUGGUUGUCGUCAGCUCGUGUCGUGAGAUGUUGGGUUAAGUCCCGCAACGAGCGCAACCCUUGAUCUUAGUUGCCAGCAUUCAGUUGGGCACUCUAAGGUGACUGCCGGUGACAAACCGGAGGAAGGUGGGGAUGACGUCAAAUCAUCAUGCCCCUUAUGACCUGGGCUACACCGUGCUACAAUGGACAGAACAAAGGGCUGCGAGACCGCAAGGUUUAGCCAAUCCCACAAAUCUGUUCUCAGUUCGGAUCGCAGUCUGCAACUCGACUGCGUGAAGCUGGAAUCGCUAGUAAUCGCGGAUCAGCAUGCCGCGGUGAAUACGUUCCCGGGCCUUGUACACACCGCCCGUCACACCACGAGAGUUUGCAACACCCGAAGUCGGUGAAGGUAACUGGUUACGGAGUCACGUAGUAGAGAGAGGAAUAC